CGGCGCGGAGGAAGGGCGGCUGCCCGCCGCCUCCCGGCCCCGGCGCCCCCGGCCCGGCUCCUCCCCGGGCCCCCCCUGCCGCGACCUGCCCCUAAGGGGGGAGCCGGGGGGAGGAACGAGCCGCUGCCGCCCCCCCAACCCUCCCGUCCGCCGCCAGCCCGGCUCGGAGCUGCGGCAGCCGCCGCGGGGGUACGACGGGACCCCACGGAGGGGAGGAAGCAAGAUCGCAGGCUGCCCCCGGACUGCCCAGCCAGAGCUCCCUGGGGAGAUGUGGCCGCCGGCUCAGCCCACCCUUCGAGCCAACAGAUGCUCUCCCGCCUGCUCCACAGAUGGGCGAGAAAACAACGCUCUGCAUUCAGGGACUGGAGCUCAGCAGGACCAGAUCCCCCCCUCCCCACCCUGUCCCAAAACACCAACCCUCCGUGCCACUCUCCAGAGGCGCCGUGAGCCCCCGGCUCCCCCCGCACCCGCACCCUGCCGGGAUAAAGCCUCGGAGCCGCUUCCCGGGCCUUGGCUGCGCACGGACAGAGCAGCUCAUUUAUCAUCCUGUGCCGCCCCGGCCCUGCGGUUGCUGUUUGCAACAGAGAAGCUGGGAGGGAGAGAAAAUUUCUCAAGUCGGGCCUCGGCAAGAACUGGAAACAUAUGCCCUGGCGGCAACCGCCUCCCCCAGGCCGCGCGGGGAUCCAGGCGAGCCCAGCGCAGGAUUUUCCACCACAGCUCCCGCCAGCGCGCAACCCUCCUGCCCGAGCCGGGGUUUUCGAGCUGCCCAAGAGCUGGGGAUGGUGACAUCUCCGAGCUUGGACCUGUGGGGAUAGCGGGAUGCAAUGCAGCUGGAACGGGAUGCAGCACAGGAUGGCUCCUCUCUCAAGCUGGACGGCCACAAUCCAGGUUUGGGAAGCAGGGAUCCUCACUGCGCACAUCUUAGACCUCCUUGCUGGCUUGUCAUGCAGAAUCGUCCCCUUUGCACAAAGCUGAGCCCCAGGGACAGAUGUCCCUUGCAAGGCAGGGGCUGGACAGGAUCAGGAUGUGGUGCCAGUUGUGCAAGGUGCUGUACAAACAGCCCUGGGCAGUCUCACAGUGCCCUGCUCCCCCCAGCUUGCACCAGGCAGGGGCUCAGGAUGGACCUAUGAGCAGACUGCCUGACGCUGGGGCCAUCCCCAUUUCCAUCCCCAUCUCCACCUCCAUCCCUAUGCCCACAACUCUAUCCCCAUCACCCCGUCCCCAUCUCCAGUCCCACCUCCAUCUCCAGCCCCAGUGCUGUCCCCAUCCCUGUCCCCAUCCCUCGGGCACUGCAGGAUGGUGCCCAGCAGCACCCACUUCCCAGCAUGCCGGCGAGGUCCCAUUGCACCCUCACGAGCAGGCACGUGCUGCAGAUCCUCCCCUCCCAUCCAGCAGGACCGGGAGGUUAAUAUGGAAAUUACCAACUGCUUAUUCCUUCCAGCUGUUGCUGUGAGUCAUCAAGUGCCUUAAAGAGCAUUUCAAACAACACAGUGCCUUCGAGACAGCGUGACUGCUCCCCCAGCCAACCCCUCCGGAUAAUCCUCCGCGGGGUCUGGUGUUUGAAAAGGGAAUAUUUCUUCAAGGAGGCAAUUCCCAGCCGCUCAGGCCGGGGAGGCAGAACAGCCGCUGCCUCUCCGCGCCGCCCGACCAGGUUCCCACCUCCGCCCCUGGGCUCCCGGCCUCCUGCUGGAGAGCAAACCCUGGGCAGCGUGCUGGGCAGCUCAGCCCUGCCAUCAUCCCUCUUCUAAACCCAACAGGGGACACAGAAAUGCCACCACACACACACGAGUGAAAACCAGCACUAUACCACCAAGGGAAACUGAGGCAUGGGACAGUCAGCCUGAGCACCACAGUGUCACCUGCCCGAGGUGAGGUUGACAGGACACGGCUGCAGCCCGCUAGGGCACUGGCCUGGGGGUCAGCAACCUUGAACUUUGCCCUCAACAGCUGUAUUUUCCUCCUCUAGCUUAUUUUCUUUUUUCUGUUUCAAAAAGGCUGAUCUCUGCACUCGGCUGGUGCUGAUUUUUCAGAUGGAAAAGAUAGGGCUGGUUCAUGGAAAUGGUUUGGAUACACUGCUGCUUUAACUUUUCUUUGAAUUUUUUACUUUCUUAAUUGAUUAUUUGUUUGUUUGUUUCUAUUUCUUUUGCUGGAAAAGCCCAGCUGAGCUUUCUCCUGCUUGUAAACUAUUUGCCCCAGUCCUUUGCGUGGCCGUGCAGGUGAGUUGAGGGUACUCCCAGUCAAGAUGGUGCCUGGUGCCAGCAGGAACAUCCAUCCCUGCACAGCUUGGAGCCUGAAAUAUAAGAAGUAUAUAGAUGACCCAAGAAAAGCUGUGUGCAGGUGACAUGGAGCUGUAGGGUGAGUAGAGGGGAAAGGGACACAGCAAUCCUGCACCAAAACCAGAGGUGUGGGCUGGAGCAGGGGCUCUGCAGAGAGGGAGGAUGCAGGGUGGUCCAUCCCUGGAAGGAAAGGAGGGAUGCUGCUGGGCAGGAUGGAGAACAGUGACUCUGGGGGAGAGGAGAGGGCCACCAACAGCCACUGCAGCCCUGCAGGGACACACUGCAGCUCAGCUGGAGCCGCUCAAGCGCUUUGGGAGAUGCUGCAGCAAAGAGGUUGUGACAGCCAGAGGACAAAGCCAUCACUUUGUCCCCCACAAAGCGAGGACAUGCACAGUGCCUGGCCCGGUGGUGGCUGCUGGCUUGGUCCGAGCAGGAGCCCCAGGCCCAGCCUGGAGGUGCACAGAAGUGUGCCCACACGUGUGGGAGCGCAGGGACAGGCGUGGAAGUGAAGCCCCAGCACCCUCAGCCUCUGCUCCAAGUCCCUGCCCGGGCUUCCAGCAGCAGUAACCUCGGAUCGCACCUCCCAGCUCUCACCCCCAGAGGGGCCGGGCACUGAUUAACCCCGUGGCAGCCUGCCCUGAGAGGCAGGAGGGAGCCACGUCCCCUGCAGGGCACAAGGGCCGGGUUGCUGGGGAUUUUGUGGGGUUUUGGUUGGGCUUUUUUUUGAGUUGUUGUGUUUUUUUUUUUCUUUUCCUUUCCAGAACGAGCUGCUCUACAAAUGCCAAGUGCUGAUGCCAAAGGGCCGUGUCAACAAAGAAGAAUGAGUGUGGCUGUUAGAAGCUGCCAUUAAUAAAAGGGCAGGUUGGUAAAUGCAAGCUGGAGCAGAGCAGGGAAUCAAUCAUCCCUUCUGCAGCCAAAGGGUGAGAAGAGAAGCUUCUGUUCUGGAAAGAAUGCUGUUGGCAGGAGGUGGGCAGAAGCCCGUGGCCACCCAGUGGCAGGUGCAGCCCAUGCAGGGUCUGGCCUCACUGUAGUGAGCACCAAGGUGUGGGAAAGAUGCUGGCUGUGCAGGUGACGUGGACACUCAUCCCCACUGCCCUGGGCUCACCUUCCCUGCAUGAUGCUGGAUCCCACCAUCCGUGACAGGCACAUCUCUUUGGACACAGCUGGCACACCUGGGGAAACUGAGGCAAAGGGGCUAAUGUGCAGGAUUGUGGGCCCAGACCUCCCAAAUUCCCAUCACCUUCAGCUCAUCCCUUCCCUGUACGGAGCCCUUCUGCCCCAGUGCCUGUCACAAAAUACCACCAGCCCCCAGAGACCCCCUCCCCAGCCCUCCAUCCUCCCACAUGGGCUAGGAACCACCACCUUUGCUGUCCCCUGUCCAGCCCAUCCAGCUGAAGUGCAACCCUGUGUCCUGCUGAUCCCUUUCCUAACAAAAUGUGGGUUUCCAGCAGGGAUUCACACCCUCCAGCUGCACAGAUGCUCUCAGCAGUCCCUUCCCUGGGGACCUUCCCACCCCUCCAGCCAUGGAGAGUUUAAUGGGUAGCAUGAUCAGACUCAGGAGCACAGGUUAUGAUGAGGACACCAAACCUCUGAACCUGUGCCCAGGUCGUCUCCUGGGCAAACAACAUCACUUUCCCGGGAGGAAUUGUGCCUGCCUGCCUUCCUCCUUCUGCUAAACACAUCCAUCCCAAGGGAUGUGCUUGCUCUGCCAGCUGAGAUGAAGCCUGAACCCAACAGAAAAAAAUGCCUUCAUCCAAGGGGACUCUGCGCAUGCCUGGCCCCAAAUCAGGGUGCACCAGGGAUGGGGUCCCCAUCCCUGACCUCUCCAUUCCUCCCUGCUCCUGCCUCUGCUGUAAAUCAAUGCCAGCACCGUGAACUAAAACCAAGUUUAUCUGAAAGUCUUGUCCAAAAACAUACUAAAAAAAUAUAGCUUCAUCGGAAA